UCAGCUCUUCUUUUCUCCUAUGUGAAGAGAAGAGAUGGUAGUAGAUAGAGAUGAUAAGGAAGAGAGGGGUAUUAUAAUGUAAUAAAGUCGGUUGUUGCUGUGUGUUUUAAGGACAGAGAAAGAGAGGGACACUAAUAAAACACGCUCAAUACUUGUGUUUUGUUUUUUUAUCUCUGUUUCAGGGUUUUCUUAUUUAUUUAUGUCUGUAAAACUUAAGAGAGAGAGGGCGGUGGCACAGAGUAGAGAGGGGAAAGAAGCAGAAGAAGAAGCUUAAAGGCAGCUUCUUUCACUUUGGCAAGUACAGCCUCGCUUCUUCUGGUAUUCCAUCUUCAGGAAUACGAUUGAUUAACUCACAAAUUCGAAUAUCUUAAGGUUCUUUAACUACAUUACUUAGCUGUAUUCGUUUUUUUUUCCUGAUUAAGUUUGCUUUCGUAUAUCUAAUGUGUGGUUUUGAUGUAAACCGACUUUAUUAAGUCAAUAAUCUAGGUGUCAUGUUGUUAUCAUGCAGUUGUUUUAUCUACUAUUCUAAAAAUCUGCUAUUAAUUCA